AAGCCUACUCCUUCUAAAUCUCCCUUUUCUUGCAUGAAUCAAAGGUCUCCACCUAACUCAAUGCUUAUUUUUUUGCAUGUCUAAGACAAGGUUGAAACUCCUUCCUACCAAUAGAUGAUAUUGUCGUAUGGCAUGAUUUGCUAUUUGGGAAUACACUGCAUAUCUAGCUGUAGAGAGUUUAGCUUAAACCUUCAUAUGAAUCUUGUCUUAGCUUCCAAAACUCCUUUAUUUUGCAUAAAACUCAAAAUAUAACAAAAUCCCUUCAAAACUUAUUUUUCCCUCAAAAGGUUUUCUCUUUCAAAACUUUAGAAAUUCAUAACUCUUGAUCUAGCCGUUCAGUUUAUCUAAAAUUUAUAGGAUAGGUAGAAUUUACCAUUAAGUUUUAUCACAAAAAAAAACAACCACAAAUUCACUUCCGAUCUUUUGGCAUCUAAGAAACCC
rnacentral:lncRNA from 1 species